rnacentral:rRNA from 1 species
GAUGAACGCUGGCGGCGUGCCUAACACAUGCAAGUCGAACGGAGUUACUUUAGUGACGUUUUCGGAUGGAUCUGAUUUAACUUAGUGGCGGACGGGUGAGUAAUGCGUGAGCAACCUGCCCUUCAGAGGGGGACAACAGUUGGAAACGACUGCUAAUACCGCAUAAUGUAUCCGGGAGGCAUCUCCUGGAUACCAAAGGAGAAAUCCGCGGAUGGAUGGGCUCACGUCUGAUUAGCUAGUUGGUGAGGUAACGGCUCACCAAGGCUGCGAUCAGUAGCCGGACUGAGAGGUUGAACGGCCACAUUGGGACUGAGAUACGGCCCAGACUCCUACGGGAGGGAGCAGUAGGGAAUAUUGGGCAAUGGGCGAAAGCCUGACCCAGCAACGCCGCGUGAAGGAAGAAGGCCUUCGGGUUGUAGACUUCUGUUAAGAGGGACGAAGAAGUGACGGUACCUCUUGAAUAAGCCCCGGCUAACUACGU